UGUGGUGAAGUAUAAUUAUUUGUACGUGGGUUUUUGGAUCCUGAAGAACGUUUAAGCGUCACCAUAA
rnacentral:tRNA from 1 species